UAGAAGCUGAGGGAGGCAGAAACCAUGGGUCCCAACGAUGUCCCAGGCCUAAUCCCAGAAACCUGAUAAAAGCAGAACUGCAUUCUGGAUGUUCUUCUAGGAAAGCCACUGACACCAGGUGGAGCUUUGCCCCUUGAGCCACUCGGGCAUAAUCAUAAGCACCCGUUCUGGUGGACAAGAAGGAGUUCAGACCAGGAACAAAUGAGCCCCUUAAAAGCCACUCUUGAAAAUGCAGUGACAUGUGUCACAGUGAAAUGUCCUGCUCUUGCGAAACAAAAUGGGAUCAGAAAAUACUCUGUAGGCAGAGCCUGAAUAAAAUUGGUAUUUCAUUUACCUCCA